UUAAAAACUAUGCACUAACUUAGGCAAUGGAGCAUGUUCGGUCACCAAACUACCAUCUAGGCAACCGGCCGGAAGUAACACAGCUGUUCAUUUAGAGCAGACUCUCAGCAAAUAGUUUAAUUCAAGAUUAUUUACAGGUCUAACUAGCACUAAUAAUUUUUAGAGCAGACUCUCAGCAAAUAGUUUAAUUCAAGAUUAUUUACAGGUCUAACUAGCACUAAUAAUUCACCGUAGCAGCGAAGAAGGUAGACGGAAUCUUGGGCAUCAAAUUGACAAGAACCUAACUAUAAGUAAAGAACAUGAAACUUGAAUAGAAAAUAGAUCAAAAUCUAGUAACGAGACAUCAUAAAGAUUGAUAAAAAUAAAUAAAUAAAUAAAAAUAAGUAAUAACAAAUCAACAAUUGACCCA
rnacentral:lncRNA from 1 species